rnacentral:rRNA from 1 species
GACGAACGCUGGCGGCGUGCUUAACACAUGCAAGUCGAACGGAAAGGCCCUGCUUUUGUGGGGUGCUCGAGUGGCGAACGGGUGAGUAACACGUGAGUAACCUGCCCUUGACUUUGGGAUAACUUCAGGAAACUGGGUCUAAUACCGGAUAGGAGCUCCUGCUGCAUGGUGGGGGUUGGAAAGUUUCGGCGGUUGGGGAUGGACUCGCGGCUUAUCAGCUUGUUGGUGGGGUAGUGGCUUACCAAGGCUUUGACGGGUAGCCGGCCUGAGAGGGUGACCGGCCACAUUGGGACUGAGAUACGGCCCAGACUCCUACGGGAGGCAGCAGUGGGGAAUAUUGCACAAUGGGCGGAAGCCUGAUGCAGCAACGCCGCGUGCGGGAUGACGGCCUUCGGGUUGUAAACCGCUUUCGCCUGUGACGAAGCGUGAGUGACGGUAAUGGGUAAAGAAGCACCGGCUAACUACGUGCCAGCAGCCGCGGUGAUACGUAGGGUGCGAGCGUUGUCCGGAUUUAUUGGGCGUAAAGGGCUCGUAGGUGGUUGAUCGCGUCGGAAGUGUAAUCUUGGGGCUUAACCCUGAGCGUGCUUUCGAUACGGGUUGACUUGAGGAAGGUAGGGGAGAAUGGAAUUCCUGGUGGAGCGGUGGAAUGCGCAGAUAUCAGGAGGAACACCAGUGGCGAAGGCGGUUCUCUGGGCCUUUCCUGACGCUGAGGAGCGAAAGCGUGGGGAGCGAACAGGCUUAGAUACCCUGGUAGUCCACGCUGUAAACGGUGGGUACUAGGUGUGGGGUCCAUUCCACGGGUUCCGUGCCGUAGCUAACGCUUUAAGUACCCCGCCUGGGGAGUACGGCCGCAAGGCUAAAACUCAAAGGAAUUGACGGGGCCCCGCACAAGCGGCGGAGCAUGCGGAUUAAUUCGAUGCAACGCGUAGAACCUUACCUGGGUUUGACAUGGAUCGGGAGCGCUCAGAGAUGGGUGUGCCUCUUUUGGGGUCGGUUCACAGGUGGUGCAUGGCUGUCGUCAGCUCGUGUCGUGAGAUGUUGGGUUAAGUCCCGCAACGAGCGCAACCCUUGUUCACUGUUGCCAGCACGUUAUGGUGGGGACUCAGUGGAGACCGCCGGGGUCAACUCGGAGGAAGGUGGGGAUGACGUCAAGUCAUCAUGCCCCUUAUGUCCAGGGCUUCACGCAUGCUACAAUGGCUGGUACAGAGAGUGGCGAGCCUGUGAGGGUGAGCGGAUCUCGGAAAGCCGGUCUCAGUUCGGAUUGGGGUCUGCAACUCGACCUCAUGAAGUCGGAGUCGCUAGUAAUCGCAGAUCAGCAACGCUGCGGUGAAUACGUUCCCGGG